rnacentral:piRNA from 1 species
UGAGGUCGAUGUCCCACCGGUCUUUGAUGA